rnacentral:rRNA from 1 species
GAUGAACGCUGGCGGCGUGCCUAAUACAUGCAAGUCGAGCGAACAGACGAGGAGCUUGCUCCUCUGACGUUAGCGGCGGACGGGUGAGUAACACGUGGAUAACCUACCUAUAAGACUGGGAUAACUUCGGGACACCGGAGCUAAUACCGGAUAAUAUAUUUAACCGUAUGGUUCAAUAGUGAAUGACGGUUUUGCUGUCACUUAUAGAUGGAUCCGCGCCGCGUUAGCUAGUUGGUAUGGUAACGGCUUACCAAGGCGACGUGGCGUAGCCGACCUGAGAGGGGGAGCGGCCCCACGAGAACGGAGACACGGUCCAGACUCCUACGGGAGGCAGCAGUAGGGAAUCUGCCGCAAUGGGCGAAAGCCUGACGGAGCAACGCCGCGUGAGUGAUGAAGGUCUUCGGAUCGUAAAACUCUGUUAUUAGGGAAGAACAAAUGUGUAAGUAACUAUGCACGUCUUGACGGUACCUAAUCAGAAAGCCACGGCUAACUACGUG